CUCUAUACUAAUUGACAGGCUCCUCUAUUACAUGGUAUAACCGAUUAAUAUUUUCUUGUAAAGACAUAUAAUUGGUUUGUUGCCCCGAUGGAGGUCGUCCACAUGUCAUUUUUCAACCCUACAUCCAAAAAAUAACGGAUUAGAACAUUCCAAUAUAACUUUUCUUACUCCUCAACAUCCUAAAAAUUAUAAGAAAUCAUAUUUAAACUCUAAAACCUCAUGCGCAAGGGAUGAUUCUAGGAACAUGGGCUCUGACACCACCUAUCACACCCUAAACGCAAUAAUGAAGCGCAAUCUACUCAUACCAUUCUUCAAAUAAUGGCCCACAAAACAUGCAUAUGCACAACUCAUGAAUUUAACAUAAAACCUAACAUCCAAUGUGAUAUAU
rnacentral:lncRNA from 1 species